rnacentral:misc_RNA from 1 species
UUUCCGUAGGUGAACCUGCGGAAGGAUCAUUACAGAGUUCAUGCCCUCACGGGUAGAUCUCCCACCCUUGAAUAUUUAUACCUUAGUUGCUUUGGCAGGCCGUGGAAACACCAUGGGCUCCGGCUUAUGGGUGCCUGGCAGAGUAAACAAACUCUGUUUUUAGUGACGUCUGAGUACUAUAUAAUAGUUAAAACUUUCAACAACGGAUCUCUUGGUUCUG